GAUGAACGCUGGCGGCGUGCCUAAUACAUGCAAGUCGAGCGAACAGAUGAGGAGCUUGCUUCUCUGAUGUUAGCGGCGGACGGGUGAGUAACACGUGGAUAACCUACCUAUAAGACUGGGAUAACUUCGGGAAACCGGAGCUAAUACCGGAUAAUAUUUUGAACCGCAUGGUUCAAUAGUGAAAGACGGUCUUGCUGUCACUUAUAGAUGGAUCCGCGCCGCAUUAGCUAGUUGGUAAGGUAACGGCUUACCAAGGCAACGAUGCGUAGCCGACCUGAGAGGGUGAUCGGCCACACUGGAACUGAGACACGGUCCAGACUCCUACGGGAGGCAGCAGUAGGGAAUCUUCCGCAAUGGGCGAAAGCCUGACGGAGCAACGCCGCGUGAGUGAUGAAGGUCUUCGGAUCGUAAAACUCUGUUAUUAGGGAAGAACAAAUGUGUAAGUAACUAUGCACGUCUUGACGGUACCUAAUCAGAAAGCCACGGCUAACUACGUG
rnacentral:rRNA from 1 species